GCAACGCCGCGUGAGUGAUGAAGGUCUUCGGAUCGUAAAACUCUGUUAUUAGGGAAGAACAUAUGUGUAAGUAACUGUGCACAUCUUGACGGUACCUAAUCAGAAAGCCACGGCUAACUACGUGCCAGCAGCCGCGGUAAUACGUAGGUGGCAAGCGUUAUCCGGAAUUAUUGGGCGUAAAGCGCGCGUAGGCGGUUUUUUAAGUCUGAUGUGAAAGCCCACGGCUCAACCGUGGAGGGUCAUUGGAAACUGGAAAACUUGAGUGCAGAAGAGGAAAGUGGAAUUCCAUGUGUAGCGGUGAAAUGCGCAGAGAUAUGGAGGAACACCAGUGGCGAAGGCGACUUUCUGGUCUGUAACUGACGCUGAUGUGCGAAAGCGUGGGGAUCAAACAGGAUUAGAUACCCUGGUAGUCCACGCCGUAAACGAUGAGUGCUAAGUGUUAGGGGGUUUCCGCCCCUUAGUGCUGCAGCUAACGCAUUAAGCACUCCGCCUGGGGAGUACGACCGCAAGGUUGAAACUCAAAGGAAUUGACGGC
rnacentral:rRNA from 1 species